CAGUAGCCGCGGGAAUACGUAGGUGGCAAGCGUUGUCCGGAAUUAUUGGGCGUAAAGGGCUCGCAGGCGGUUUCUUAAGUCUGAUGUGAAAGCCCCCGGCUCAACCGGGGAGGGUCAUUGGAAACUGGGAAACUUGAGUGCAGAAGAGGAGAGUGGAAUUCCACGUGUAGCGGUGAAAUGCGUAGAGAUGUGGAGGAACACCAGCGGCGAAGGCGACUCUCUGGUCUGUAACUGACGCUGAGGAGCGAAAGCGUGGGGAGCGAACAGGAUUAGAUACCCCCGUAGUCCCUGUCUCUUAUAC
rnacentral:rRNA from 1 species